UACGGGGGGGGCAAGCGUUGUUCGGAAUUACUGGGCGUAAAGGGCUCGUAGGCGGCCAACUAAGUCGGACGUGAAAUCCCUCGGCUUAACCGGGGAACUGCGUCCGAUACUGGAUGGCUUGAGUUUGGGAGAGGGAUGCGGAAUUCCAGGUGUAGCGGUGAAAUGCGUAGAUAUCUGGAGGAACACCGGUGGCGAAGGCGGCAUCCUGGACCAACACUGACGCGUGAUGAGC
rnacentral:rRNA from 1 species